rnacentral:rRNA from 1 species
UACGUAGGGUGCGAGCGUUAAUCGGAAUUACUGGGCGUAAAGUGUGCGCAGGCGGCAGAGCAAGUCGAGUGUGAAAGCCCCGGGCUUAACUUGGGAAUUGCGCUCGAAACUACUUUGCUGGAGUGUGGCAGAGGAAGGUGGAAUUCCACGUGUAGCGGUGAAAUGCGUAGAGAUGUGGAGGAACACCAAUGGCGAAGGCAGCCUUCUGGGCCAACACUGACACUGAGGCACGAAAGCGUGGGGAGCAAACAGG